rnacentral:rRNA from 1 species
AUCAGCGCUCUAUAAUGCAGUCGACGCGUCUCCGUUGAUGAUUUUAGGUGCUUGCACCUGAAAGAUUUAACAUUGAGACGAGUGGCGAACUGGUGAGUAACACGUGGGUAACCUGCCCUUGAAGUAGGGGAUAACACUUGGAAACAGGUGCUAAUACCGUAUAACAACCAAAACCACCUGGUUUUGGUUUAAAAGACGGCUUCGGCUGUCACUUUAGGAUGGACCCGCGGCGUAUUAGCUUGUUGGUAAGGUAACGGCCUACCAAGGCGAUGAUACGUAGCCGACCUGAGAGGGUAAUCGGCCACAUUGGGACUGAGACACGGCCCAAACUCCUACGGGAGGCAGCAGUAGGGAAUCUUCCACAAUGGACGAAAGUCUGAUGGAGCAACGCCGCGUGAGUGAUGAAGGGUUUCGGCUCGUAAAACUCUGUUGUUGGAGAAGAACAGGUGUCAGAGUAACUGUUGACAUCUUGACGGUAUCCAACCAGAAAGCCACGGCUAACUACGUGCCAGCAGCCGCGGUAAUACGUAGGUGGCAAGCGUUGUCCGGAUUUAUUGGGCGUAAAGCGAGCGCAGGCGGUUUUUUAGGUCUGAUGUGAAAGCCUUCGGCUUAACCGGAGAAGUGCAUCGGAAACCGGGAGACUUGAGUGCAGAAGAGGACAGUGGAACUCCAUGUGUAGCGGUGAAAUGCGUAGAUAUAUGGAAGAACACCAGUGGCGAAGGCGGCUGUCUGGUCUGUAACUGACGCUGAGGCUCGAAAGCAUGGGUAGCGAACAGGAUUAGAUACCCUGGUAGUCCAUGCCGUAAACGAUGAGUGCUAAGUGUUGGGAGGGUUUCCGCCCUUCAGUGCUGCAGCUAACGCAUUAAGCACUCCGCCUGGGGAGUACGACCGCAAGGUUGAAACUCAAAGGAAUUGACGGGGGCCCGCACAAGCGGUGGAGCAUGUGGUUUAAUUCGAUGCUACGCGAAGAACC